GGUUUCAGGUCAAACGUGCUACGAACAGAAAUGAUAGUUUCCAAUUAAGGGAAAAUUAAUAAUUAGUAAACGCGAGUCUAUUUUACAAUAACGCCAAUAAAUAAAUAAUUUUGUCUUUUCAACAGUCCGUUUGUUUAUUCAUCAAAAUAUACUGUAGAAAUGUCAAAACUUUUGGUAUUAUCUUCUUCAAAAAAAUAUCAAAAGUUUUGCAUCUCAUUACCGAUGAGGAUUGGACCGCACGCAGUUCUCGUCUGUUGCUACGCGCGGCGAAGGGAUUAGCUGCAAAUGUUUAAACUGAAAUGUGUCGAGGUCGUUGGAGGUGGUUUCGAGAAGGUUGGAAUUCGAUAAAAAUGAACGAAUGCAACGAAUAUGUAAUGGAAGGAAAUCCAAGUCUUCGCAUCUCUCGAAGGGGACGGGGCAAGGGAGAGGGAGGCAGCCCUUGAAGACACACCUAAGAGUAAAUUGGAGUCAGUUACGGGGAAUAAUUGCACGAAAUCGUCGUAAGCUUUCGUGCUUUUUUACAUAAUUGAAAGUUGGCUAAUUCACUAGUUAUAAUAUAUCAAUUAAAUCCUACAAAGACUCAUAGAAAUGUGAAGGAGAGUAUCGUUCAGAUAUUCAAUCUAAAUACACUUUUUCCAAGGACCCUCCAAAUUCCUCUUCUUCCUUUCUCAUCAACAACGAAUAUAAAACACAUUGUAAAAUAUUCAAACCAACAAAUUAUGCAAUCGAUAGAAAUAGAGUUUUUUCAUAAAUUAUAGCAAUAACUAUCACUUCAUCAACAACCAUAUAAUAAUAAUAAUAAUAAUAAUCAUCGUCUAAAUUUCUAAUACUGUUAUUGGCAAUAAUACUUUUCUUCGUAAUAAUGAUAAUAAUCAUGAUGCACUCCACCUCAUAUAUAUUCCAAUCACGAUGGUAUUCUCGUCAUCAAUCAAAAAUGGUGUUAUUCUAUUCGCAAGUUCAAUUUUUUCCAUCAAAUUUCUUCCUCGAAUGGGCGGAUACGACUACUGCUAAGGCCUCGCUUAUAUGAAUUAUCCAAAAUUAAUGAUAGAAUUUAGUCCCAUACAUUCAAUCACUAACAGCCUAAGUAAGGUAUAUGAGCAAAUGAAUAAAUAAGUGAAUAAGCAAAUAUUCAUUUAUCUAUUCAUUUAUCUGUAUCUAUGUAUGUGUGUGUUUGUGUGUGCGUGUAUAUACAUAUGUAUAUAGUCGUUAGAAUUCGAAAGAAGCUGUUUCCUCGCGAUUUUCUUCGCGAUUAGAAAUGGAAAUAAUAAGAAUUUUUACAAUUUUUUUCAGUAUCGAAUAAAAUAGUGGAAAAUAA